rnacentral:rRNA from 1 species
UACGUAGGGAGCAAGCGUUAUCCGGAUUUAUUGGGCGUAAAGCGUGCGUAGGCGGUUUGUUAAGUCUGAAAUUAAAGCCUGAGGCUCAACCUCAGUUCGUUUCAGAAACUGGCAGACUUGAGUGUGGUAGAGGUAAAUGGAAUUUCUAGUGUAGCGGUAAAAUGCGUAGAUAUUAGAAGGAACACCAGUGGCGAAGGCGAUUUACUGGGCCAUUACUGACGCUGAGGCACGAAAGCGUGGGGAGCAAAUAGG